AUUGAACGCUGGCGGCAUGCCUUACACAUGCAAGUCGAACGGCAGCACGGGUGCUUGCACCUGGUGGCGAGUGGCGAACGGGUGAGUAAUACAUCGGAACAUGUCCUGUAGUGGGGGAUAGCCCGGCGAAAGCCGGAUUAAUACCGCAUACGAUCUACGGAUGAAAGCGGGGGACCUUCUGGCCUCGCGCUAUCGGGUUGGCCGAUGGCUGAUUAGCUAGUUGGUGGGGUAAAGGCCUACCAAGGCUACGAUCAGUAGCUGGUCUGAGAGGACGACCAGCCACACUGGGACUGAGACACGGCCCAGACUCCUACGGGAGGCAGCAGUGGGGAAUUUUGGACAAUGGGCGAAAGCCUGAUCCAGCAAUGCCGCGUGUGUGAAGAAGGCCUUCGGGUUGUAAAGCACUUUUGUCCGGAAAGAAAUCCUUGGCCCUAAUACGGUCGGGGGAUGACGGUACCGGAAGAAUAAGCACCGGCUAACUACGUG
rnacentral:rRNA from 1 species